AAGCGGUGAGUGCUUUGGGGUGGGGUGACUGCGUACCUUUUGUAUAAUGGGUCAGCGACUUAUAUUCUGUAGCAAGGUUAACCGCAUAGGGGAGCCGGAGGGAAACCGAGUCUUAAUUGGGCGUUAAGUUGCAGGGUAUAGACCCGAAACCCGGUGAUCUAGCCAUGGGCAGGUUGAAGGUUGGGUAACACUAACUGGAGGACCGAACCGACUAAUGUUGAAAAAUUAGCGGAUGACCUGUGGCUGGGGGUGAAAGGCCAAUCAAACCGGGAGAUAGCUGGUUCUCCCCGAAAGCUAUUUAGGUAGCGCCUCGUGAAUUCAUCUCCGGGGGUAGAGCACUGUUUCGGCUAGGGGGCCAUCCCGGCUUACCAACCCGAUGCAAACUGCGAAUACCGGAGAAUGUUAUCACGGGAGACACACGGCGGGUGCUAACGUCCGUCGUGAAGAGGGAAACAACCCAGACCGCCAGCUAAGGUCCCAAAGUCAUGGUUAAGUGGGAAACGAUGUGGGAAGGCCCAGACAGCCAGGAUGUUGGCUUAGAAGCAGCCAUCAUUUAAAGAAAGCGUAAUAGCUCACUGGUCGAGUCGGCCUGCGCGGAAGAUGUAACGGGGCUAAACCAUGCACCGAAGCUGCGGCAGCGAACGUAUCACUUAAAGCGAUUCAGCGGGUUACGAUUGACGGAGCGAAGCGACGUCAAAGCGUAUACAAAGUCGAGUCGGUUUAAGGAUACGUUCGUUGGGUAGGGGAGCGUUCUGUAAGCCUGUGAAGGUGUGUCGUGAGGCAUGCUGGAGGUAUCAGAAGUGCGAAUGCUGACAUAAGUAACGAUAAAGCGGGUGAAAAGCCCGCUCGCCGGAAGACCAAGGGUUCCUGUCCAACGUUAAUCGGGGCAGGGUGAGUCGAC
rnacentral:rRNA from 1 species